rnacentral:rRNA from 1 species
UACGUAGGGUGCAAGCGUUGCCCAGAUUUAUUGGGCGUAAAGGGCGCGUAGGCGGCUCGGCACGUCCGUUGUGAAAUCGCCCGGCUCAACUGGGCGGGUCGGCGGAUACGGCCGAGCUGGAGCAAGCUAGGGGGUAAUGGAAUUCCCGGUGUAGUGGUGGAAUGCGUAGAUAUCGGGAGGAACACCAGUGGCGAAGGCGGUUACCCUGGAGCUUUGCUGACGCUGAUGCGCGAAAGCGUGGGGAGCGAGUCCGG